rnacentral:hammerhead_ribozyme from 1 species
AUUCAGCUGUUGAGUCCAAAAUAGGAUGAAAUGCGCGUCCUGUAU